AUGGAAGGAGGUGAUGAUUGCACAAUAAUAGUUAAGUUUACCUUCAGAAGACUCUUCAUUUAGUCAGCCAAAGAAUAUGGCAAUUGGAAGCCACUGCACUGUUUCUCCAUAACAGCUCAAGAGAAUCUGAAGCAAAUGAGGAAACUCAAGCAGCACAUGGAAAAUCAGGGAAAACUUAGCUUUAUUAUCACCAGCGGGCCCAGCGGGAUCACUCCCAAAAUCUGAGCACCCAGCCUUUGUUGGGACGGGCUGGAUCGAGGCAUUCCCCACCACUAAGGAAACUGCAGACAUGUUCGCCAUAAUUCUCAUUGAGCACAUCAUCCCGAUAUUUGGACUCCCUCGAACCCUACAAUCAGACAAUGGACCAGCCUUCAUCUCCAGCAUCACACAAGUGUCCGAGAGCCUCAACAUUACCUGGAAACUUCAUAUCCCCUA